rnacentral:rRNA from 1 species
GAUGAACGCUGGCGGCGUGCCUAACACAUGCAAGUCGAGCGAAGCGCCUUACUUGAUUUCUUCGGGAUGAAAGUAUUGUGACUGAGCGGCGGACGGGUGAGUAACGCGUGGAUAACCUGCCUCAUACAGGGGGAUAGCAGUUAGAAAUGACUGCUAAUACCGCAUAAGACCACAGCACCGCAUGGUGCAGGGGUAAAAACUCCGGUGGUAUGAGAUGGAUCCGCGUCUGAUUAGCUAGUUGGUAAGGUAACGGCUUACCAAGGCAACGAUCAGUGGCCGGCCUGAGAGGGUGAACGGCCACAUUGGGACUGAGACACGGCCCAG